UACGUAGGGUGCAAGCGUUAAUCGGAAUUACUGGGCGUAAAGCGUGCGCAGGCGGCUUUGCAAGACAGAUGUGAAAUCCCCGGGCUCAACCUGGGAACUGCAUUUGUGACUGCAAGGCUAGAGUACGGUAGAGGGGGAUGGAAUUCCGCGUGUAGCAGUGAAAUGCGUAGAUAUCGAGAGGAACACCAGUGGCGAAGGCGAGUCUCUGGACAUUUCCUGACGCUGAGGCACGAAAGCCAGGGGAGCAAACGGG
rnacentral:rRNA from 1 species